rnacentral:rRNA from 1 species
CCUACGGGUGGCAGCAGUGAGGAAUAUUGGUCAAUGGGCGCGAGCCUGAACCAGCCAAGUAGCGUGAAGGAUGACUGCCCUACGGGUUGUAAACUUCUUUUAUAAAGGAAUAAAGUGAGGCGCGUGUGCCUUUUUGUAUGUACUUUAUGAAUAAGGAUCGGCUAACUCCGUUCCAGCAGCCGCGGUAAUACGGAGGAUCCGAGCGUUAUCCGGAUUUAUUGGGUUUAAAGGGAGAGUAGAUGGGUUGUUAAGUCAGUUGUGAAAGUUUGCGGCUCAACCGUACAAUUGCAAUUGAUACUGGCAGACUUGAGUACAGUUGAGGUAGGUGGAAUUCGUGGUGUAGCGGUGAAAUGCUUAGAUAUCACGAAGAACUCCGAUUGCGAAGGCAGCCUACUAAACUGCAACUGACAUUGAUGCUCGAAAGUGUGGGUAUCAAACAGGAUUAGAUACCCCUGUAGUC